UACGUAGGGGGCAAGCGUUGUCCGGAAUCAUUGGGCGUAAAGAGCGUGUAGGCGGCCCGGUAAGUCUGGUGUGAAAUCUUGAGGCUCAACCUCAAGCUGUCAUCGGAUACUGUCGGGCUAGAGUCCGGAAGAGGAGAGUGGAAUUCCUGGUGUAGCGGUGGAAUGCGCAGAUAUCAGGAGGAACAUCCGUGGCGAAGGCGGCUCUCUGGUACGGUACUGACGCUGAGACGCGAAAGCGUGGGGAGCGAACAGG
rnacentral:rRNA from 1 species